rnacentral:rRNA from 1 species
UUCACGUGUAGCAGUGAAAUGCGUAGAGAUGUGGAGGAAUACCGAUGGCGAAGGCAGCCCCCUGGGAUAACACUGACGCUCAUGCACGAAAGCGUGGGGAGCAAACAGGAUUAGAUACCCUGGUAGUCCACGCCCUAAACGAUGUCAACUAGUUGUUGGGGAUUCAUUUCCUUAGUAACGUAGCUAACGCGUGAAGUUGACCGCCUGGGGAGUACGGUCGCAAGAUUAAAACUCAAAGGAAUUGACGGGGACCCGCACAAGCGGUGGAUGAUGUGGAUUAAUUCGAUGCAACGCGAAAAACCUUACCUACCCUUGACAUGCCACUAACGAAGCAGAGAUGCAUUAGGUGCUCGAAAGAGAAAGUGGACACAGGUGCUGCAUGGCUGUCGUCAGCU